UACCACACAGCCUUCCUUCUUCAAAAGUUUUCUCCAGACAUAUUCUGCAAACUGAGGACAGAUUGGUUCAAUGAGGCGUGUUUGCACAUCCAUAAAGGUCAUUAUCAAGUCAUGGUUCAUGCCGCCAGUGCCACAAGAGAGCCUAUACUCAUCUCGAGCAGCUUGCAAGUCGUAAAACCCAUUCUUAAGUGCCUCCCUGAACAAACAAUCUUUGUAGGCUUUUUCCGUCAGUCUGAUAGCAAUAUUCAUGUCAUUUUCAAACACUUUAUCAGCAUAUGUAGACGGCGGGCCCGUUCUCAAGGAAGAUUCAGCAGCCAGAACCUCUUCCAUCCACGUGAGCUCUUUUGUCAGGCGCAAAAUUGCAGCAUUUGCAGUUUCAAAUACAAAAUUUGCAUCGUCAACGCCAUCACCAGCAUCAGCCAAAGAAAACCUUGUAGCAGUGGCAGAGAAUUCUUCAAUAGCCUGCUUCAGUGUUCUGAAAUUCCCAGUUGAUUUUGACAUUUUCUCAGAAUUCAGCAUAAUGUGACCAUUACAUCUGAUACCACGAGGCCAAUUACGACUCGCCAUUAGUGCAGUGUGGUUGUAGAUGAAAAAUGUCAAAUGGUUCUGGAUUAGAUCCUUUCCUGAAACUCGAAGAUCUAGCGGGUACCAGUAGUCAAAUUCCUGCUUCAUCUUACUUAAAACAUCAGCCGGAAUGUCAGAUGAUUUUGGGUACUGACCAUCGCAGAAGAGAUACUCCCAAACGUCAUCAUUCAUCUGUUGAGGGCUAAUCAAAGACUUGCUGCCUUUAUACAUGUCUCCAUCGUGAAAGAUAUGGGCAACUGUAUAAUAGGCCAUAUAAAGAGUGGAAUCAGAUAAGGAUUCAACAAGAAACUGUUCAUCCCAGGGAAUACGCGUUCCAAGACCAAAAGACCGUGAGCAAGCCCACUGAUUCAGCCAGCUCAAAGUGUGCUCAAAGCCAUGCCUUGUUUCUUCAGAGUAAAGAUUCAUCUUUGAUAAGCAUUCCUCAGCCAUCUGACGCCAUUCUGAUUCGCCGUACGUUAAGUACCACUGAUCCGUAAGAGCCACAACACAUUCAUCACCCGAUCUUGACAUCACCGGCUUCUCGGGUUCACUAUAUAGAAUUGCCUCGCCAGACUCUAUCAGCUUUGUCUUGAUAAUGGGCUUGAUCUCUUGGACUUUUCUACCAACAAACUCUCCAAUAAGCAUGGUUCCUUCGGUGAAACCUUUUAGAUACGUCAACCUCUUAGCCUCUGCAAGCUUGUCCUUAUCGUUCUGACUUUUAAUUUUCAAAUCCAAGCAGACCUUCUCCGCAGCCUUAUCCCCAAACUCCGGAAUGUUAAUAAUCGGCACAAUCUCAGAGGGCACCCACUCAUCUUUCACACCAUACUUUGCUCGAAGAGCAGGCUUUGCAGUCAAGUCAUGCAAGCACCGCUGCUUCGUGAGUUUAAUUAAGCGUCGAUGUUUGGUUAAUGACAGCAUUUUCUUUCUUUUUUAAAACCAAAAAUCACCUAAGCACCUCCCUAACAACCCGCGUUAAUGCUGCUCUUAGGACCCGAUAGGGUAAUUUCAAAUUCUCGGUUCCGGGUUGGUUCGGAUCGUGCCGGGUUCGGGUCAGGUCGGGUCUUAGAUAGUUAGACCCAUUCGGGUAACUAGAAUUUAUCAGUUCGGUUUCGGGUCGGGUUCGAUCUAAAAAAGACCUAAAAAUACAAAAAAAUAUCUGAAAAUAUUUAUAUAUCCGAAAAUAUUCAAAAUUUUAUUCAAAAUUUGUGUUUUUAUUAUAUUAAAAUGUGUAUAUAUACUAAACUUUGCGAAAUACAACAACAAUUCGUUGUCUCCUAGUGGUUGACCUCCAUAUUCUCUAGACAAAUAACCCGUCUUCGACUCCCCCUUAAUGCAUUUUAUUUAAUUUACAUUAUUAAUUCGGGUACCCAUCGGGUUUCGGGUUCGGGUCGGGUCGGGUCCAAGACCCGCGGGUCCUCUACAACAAGACCCGAUAGGGUAAUUUGAUAGGGUAAUUUGAUCGGGUCGGUUCCUACCCGAACCGGGUUUUUUCGGAUCGGUUCCGGGUCGGGUCUUCGGGUCCGGGUAAAAUGCCCACACCUAGACAGACACAAGCGUUUCUUGCUGCAAACGGUAGGUGAGAGAUAUCAAACAAUCAAAGAGAAGAAAAUAAAUAAUCUUUGGUGAAGUGUUGUGUAGUGUUGAAAGCUAGACUUGUGUAAUUUAUUUAUUCUUCAUUCGUUUCAUUUUUUUUUUAUUUUUUUUUAAUGUUAGUAGAGUCCUCAUCAGAAAAAUCAUUUAAAUAAUUUUAAAACAAAUAUUAAGUUUACAUGAUUUAUUCUCUUUAUUGAAACAUGGAAAUUGUAAGUUUUAAUAACAAAAAAUACUUUCCUAUUUUGGUUGUACUAUUAAUUUUUUUAUAUAUCUAAUUUAAUGAUAGCAAAAAAACUAGAGAAAUUUCCUAAAAUAGACCAAAAAAAGUUUUUGUCACAAAUACAUACUUCAAAAAUAAAAAUUACCAACAUAGACUUAAAUGUUUUAUCAAAAGAAGUAAAUAUACACUUAUAUUCCUAGGGUUAAUUAAUCAAGACAUUAUGGUUUAGAGUUAAGGAGUGGAGUUUAGAGUUUAGGGUUUAAAGAUAAAAAAAAGUUAAAAUUUUCAAAAUAAAAAAUGCUAUUUUAGUCAUUUUAGUUUUUAAGGUCUAUUUUUGUGACAAAACUUUAAAAAAAUUUAUUUAAGAGAAUUGUCCAAAAACUAUUUAUAUUUGUAUAUCAAUUAUAUUUUAUAAAUAUAAAUAGAUAAAAUUCUUUAUUUUUUAAUAUGGGAGUCCCACAAAAUUGGGGCCAUUCAAAUGUUUCGUAUGACUGUCCUCAGGUCCGGCUCUGGCUAGCACUCAAGGAUCUGGAUGAUGAAAUCUAUGAGACUAGUUGGGACCUAAUAAUGGUCAACGCACUGACUGGAUACUAUGAUGAUUCUCCUGGGAGGAUGACGGCCAUUUACACGGCGGGAAUAAUGGCAAGGAACAGAAAACAGGCAGGGGAGACCGAUGUGUUUGUGCACGAUGUAAAUAGUGAAGUAGAAGACAAGUUCUCCAAGUCUUUCUCGUCUGAAGGGUACAUGAAGAAACAAGAAGGGAGACUUGGGCAUUUUAUUAUCCCUAGCCAUAGAGAUGGAUCGGAAUCAGAAUCAGACAGACCCUUUUGUCCAUAGUUGAAAAUGCUACGUAACUCUGUUUCCCCAUAUCUGAACUCUUUAUCUUCCUACUUGUUUACAACCAGUAUUGAAGGGCCUAGAUGAUAAACCUAAAGCAAGAAACUAGUCUCUCUUAUUACAUUUGUGUCGGCUCUGCAAACCACCAGCAGUACAAAGAGAUUUAGAACGUUGAUAUGAAAAAACAGUAGGAUGAAUACGUGCAAUGAAACAAGGAAGUGUUAUUUAUAAGAAAGAACAGAGUCUUAGUCUUACUACACAAAACCAGAAACACGGCAGAGUAGCCAAAACAGCUAAAUGUAUAGACUCGUAAACAAGUACGAAAACCCCUUCAAACUCUCAAGCCUUCUAGUUGAAAGCUUUUCCACGCUUUUCUUUUGAAUUACCUGUGAUGCAGGAGGAAAUUCUUAGGCAGGAAGGUAGACAAUUGCGCUAGAACAGUAACUACUGGACGAGACAGAUAGAAUCAUGCAUGUUCUAAUAGGAAACAUAUAUGAUGAAGAUUUGUCACAUUUAACUAGCUUUUUACCUGCUAACAAAGAUGGCGGUUGGACUGCCUGGAGAUGGAGGAUUCUGCGUCAGGAGUGAAGCAUAUGGACCAGCUUUAGCAACAUCAUCAGGGUCACUUGCUGAAUAGAUUUCAACCUCUUCAAGACCAACUUGCCGCUUGAUCAAGUCCAUGUUACUCUUAAGGACUUCCAUCUCUCCAAAAGGUAGCUUCAAAUUCAGAGCCUGACUGCCAAUAGCUAUUGCUUCGUCCUUCUUGAAUUUAAGGAAAGGCAUGCAAAGCUUCUGAAUCUGCUUGAAGUUUUCUGCUUCUCCAUCCUUCUGCAAUAUCUCCCUUAGUUCUGCAAGUAUCUCUGCGUCAGGGGCAAAACAACAGGUUUGUCGGUCGAAUUUGCUCUGCAGAAUCUGGAGGCAGUGAGCUCUCCACCCAUCGAAUUGCUCAUUCACAUAUACAAGACCUUUCAGAUUCGAGUCUGCCACUGCUGUUACUUGAGCACCUUUCUUAGCCGCCUUCUUGGAACCUAAGAGCUGUUUUUGUAGAAGCUUUCUCAUUAAAACGAUAGAAUCUUGCAAAUAUUUGUUAGCACCCUUGAGAACCAGAUCUGGCUCAUCUGAUGCUGGCCAGCCUGCUGUUACCACACAGCCUUCCUUCUUCAAAAGUUUUCUCCAGACAUAUUCUGCAAAUUGAGGACAGAUUGGUACAAUGAGGCGUGUUUGCACAUCCAUAAAGGUCAUUAUCAAGUCAUGGUUCAUGCCGCCAGUGCCACAAGAGAGCCUAUACUCAUCUCGAGCAGCUUGCAAGUCGUAAAACCCAUUCUUAAGUGCCUCCCUGAACAAA
rnacentral:lncRNA from 1 species